UUCCACAGCUACUGGUCUGCAGCUGCUUUCAUCUGUAGCAGUUGUUGUAUUCCACUGUGGAAGAGAAACUGUUACACUGUUAAAUCUCCUCUUUCUAAUACAAAGGAAGUGGGUUCCUUGUGUGACAGACAUUU